UACGAGGGGGGCAAGCGUUGUUCGGAUUUAUUGGGCGUAAAGGGUGCGUAGGCGGUUCGUUAAGUCUGUCGUGAAAUCCCCGGGCUCAACCUGGGAAUGGCGAUGGAUACUGGCGAGCUAGAGUGUGUCAGAGGAUGGUGGAAUUCCCGGUGUAGCGGUGAAAUGCGUAGAGAUCGGGAGGAACAUCAGUGGCGAAGGCGGCCAUCUGGGACAACACUGACGCUGAAGCACGAAAGCGUGGGGAGCAAACAGG
rnacentral:rRNA from 1 species